CUUCUCUUCAGUCGGCUUCUAGACUUCCGGGGAGGAGGUAUGUGGGUUCCCUAUUUUCAUUUACUUUGUAUAAAGAGUCUAUUCAGUCGCCUUUUGGACUGCUGAGGAGAAGGACACGGCUCCAUAAGAAAAUAUCGCUGGAAGACACGGCAUCUGUUCUGGUGUCUUACAGCCCACAACCCAUCCACAUGAGUUUACCGGGGGGGAAAAAAAAGUUGAUACCCGUGAAUUCAUCUCCUCCACAGCUGCAGCAGACUGGAUAAUUUUCACAUGGCUUUAAGUGCAGUCAGAUAACCGAGUCAUGCCGCAAAAAGGGCUGCUUUGUGGUGCCCUGAGAUACAGGAUUUAACACUUUUUCGCCUGCCUACCUAAAAAAAAAAAAUUCCUAACCAGUUGGUGAAAUCCA